rnacentral:rRNA from 1 species
UACGAGUGGUGCGAGCGUUGUUCGGAUUCAUUGGGCGUAAAGGGUGCGUAGGUGGCGCGGUAAGUCGGGUGUGAAAUUUCGGAGCUUAACUCCGAAACUGCAUUCGAUACUGCCGUGCUUGAGGACUGGAGAGGAGACUGGAAUUUACGGUGUAGCAGUGAAAUGCGUAGAUAUCGUAAGGAAGACCAGUGGCGAAGGCGGGUCUCUGGACAGUUCCUGACACUGAGGCACGAAGGCCAGGGGAGCAAACGGG